rnacentral:rRNA from 1 species
AUUGAACGCUGGCGGCAGGCCUAACACAUGCAAGUCGAGCGCGCGGCGCACGGGGGAGUAAUGUCUAGCAAACCGCCUGAUGGAGGGGGAGAAAUCCUGGAAAAGGUAGCUAAUAUCGCAUACCAUCUGAUGUGGCCAGAGUGGAUUAGCUAGUAGGUGGGGGAAUGGAUCACCUCGGCGACGAUCCCUAGCUGGUCUGAGAGGAUGAUCAGCCACACGGGAACUGAGACACGGUCCAGACUCCUACGGGAGGCAGCAGUGGGGAAUAUGGCACAAUGGGCGCAAGCCUGAUGCAGCCAUGCCGCGUGUAUGAUGAAGGCCGUCGGGUUGUAAAGUACUUUCAGCGGGGAGGCGGUACUCGCAGAAGAAGCACCGGCUAACUACGUGCCAGCAGCCGCGGUAAUUC